AACAAGAAUGCUAGCGAGUAUUACUAACAUAAUGUCCACAAGCUAAAUAGUAAAUGUCAUUGUUUACUAUUCUAGUCAAAGUCCAAAUGGCAUGUUCUGUCACUAAGUUCCAAUCAUGUAAGACCCACCCGUAGGCUGUCUGGCCUGCGCUGUGCCUAAUGGCCCCGUGGUAGUCAACAUCCCCACUCUAGGAAUGAGCCUCCCCACGGCAUCCCAUUUCGACGCCCAAUCCAGCACGAGCGAGCAUAUGUCGCGAUGGCUAUCUCCGGAGUGCCGGCUUGUAGGGAACGACCCUCACAAGCAUGUGCGAAUGAGCACAAUAGCAAGCAAGCGUAAAAGUCCGUCUCAAAUACCAAGUCAUCAUGUCUAAAAUAUGAAAUGUGGCAAAUAUCUC
rnacentral:lncRNA from 1 species